rnacentral:rRNA from 1 species
GAAUCUUGCGCAAUGGGCGAAAGCCUGACGCAGCGAUGCCGCGUGCGGGAUGAAGGCCUUCGGGUUGUAAACCGCUUUCAGCAGGGACGAAAUUGACGGUACCUGCAGAAGAAGCCCCGGCCAACUACGUGCCAGCAGCCGCGGUAAUACGUAGGGGGCGAGCGUUGUCCGGAUUUAUUGGGCGUAAAGAGCUCGUGGGCGGUUCGAUAAGUCGGACGUGAAAUCUCCACGCUCAACGUGGAGGGGCCGUUCGAUACUGUCGUGACUCGAGUCCGGUAGGGGAGUGUGGAAUUCCCGGUGUAGCGGUGAAAUGCGCAGAGAUCGGGAGGAACACCCGUAGCGAAGGCGGCACUCUGGGCCGGUACUGACGCUGAGGAGCGAAAGCGUGGGGAGCAAACAGG